rnacentral:lncRNA from 1 species
GCCCCGCCCCCUCGCCCGGGCACGUGGGCCGGGGUCUGCGGGGCCAACCGCGGGCGGCCGGGGGAGGAGUCGGGGCCCACACUAGCGGCGCCGAGCACCCAGCCCCUUUGUCUCCCCCGCCCCCUCUUCCCCACUUCCUGCCCAGCUUUAAACUCGGGAUCCGCGGCGCGGCGCGGACUUUGUAAACACGCGGCGCCUGCGGGGGUGGAGACUGUUUGUGUUGGGGCGCCCGGAGGAGGAGCGCACGCCCCUCGGCUCGGCUCGAGGCGGUGGCGACGCCCCCCUCCCCAGAGGCAAGUCCGAGGCGGCGGGACGAUGAGGCCACAGUCGGUGCUCCGGGGGGCUCACCUGCUCUGGAGGGCUUCACACCAGGGAACCUGCUCUAGUGGGGCGUGGCCUGCUUGUACGGAGACUUCCUGCUCUGCAGUGAUGUUCCAUUCAGCUUCUGAGGGAGAUCUGCAGUCUCAGACCUGGUACCCACCUGCCCCACCCUUCCACCCCUUGCCCCAAACUCAGAGCCUGGGGGUGAUAGAAGACAGUUGCUCUACCCCCGGAGGAGACCAGCUGUUUCCCCUCGCCCCUCAUUUCAGCCACCUGAACCCAUUCACAGUUUUCCUGUCAGUUAACCCGGGCCCCACGACGGUGUGGGAAGGGGCCCCUGUAGACUGGGUGGGGCUGUGUUUCAUUUACUGGUGACCUUCCUCAGGCCUCCGCUGAACAGGUGCGGGCAGAAGCAGCUGGUGAAAUGAGGACAUUCUUCCUCUUCCUUUCUCUUCUCCCUCCAACUCCCUCCCCCAACCCAGCCACACUGAAGCCACAUCCCAUUUCCUCCCCAACUUUCAAGGCUGCUCUCCUCUCUGCCUCCUCUGUCCUCCAUUCCUCCAAGGGCAGUGCCCCAGGGGUGGGGUUACUUAGCCUGGGAGGGGACACAGUUAAGGGAAAGUGGGAAGCAAUGGGUUGCACUGCCACCCUCCCAGAAGAGGAGGUGGUGCGAUGGAGGUGGUGUCAUAGGGAGGGAAGGGCAGUUCCAGGGACUACCUAGAGUUGCUUGCUGACUGUGCCUACAGCCUCUAAACUCAAAGAAGACCAACUGUGAAGUUGGCCAACCCAUCCUCUUCUCGGCUGACUUCUCUGCCAUCUCCUAGACUGGGGUGGGGCAGGUCAAACUCAAAGCCACAUUCUAGAACAAAUGUAUUCAAAGUUGCCUUCCCUACAUCUGCAUCUCCUAGAGGGUCCCUUGAACUGGGAUGGCUAAAACUCACUCCCAGAGAUUCUGAUUGGGUAGGACCAAGGGCCCGAGAAUUUGCCCAUCUGGCUUGCUCCCCAGUCGAUGCUGCUUCUGGGCUCAGGGACUAACUACACUUACAGAACUGCUAUUCUGGGGCUCCCCUUAAGAUUUCUGAUAAGUAGGCUCAGCUUAGCCACCACUGGGGGAAGAACAUGUCACUCAAGGAAGUUCUCCCUCAGUGGUGGCUUUAUCACUCAGGCUCAAAUCAUAAUCCUCCCCCCUGCAGUUCUGUGUGUUGAGCUAGAUUUGGAUGGGACUCUGGCUUAAGAGGAGAGGGCAGAAAAAAGAUCUCUCUGUCUGCUUUCUUCUGACUCCCUGGACCAGUCUGCCUCCAAGCAAUGCCUCCUGCCAUCUUGAAUCUUUUGUCUCUGGAUCUCCUUCCCUGCCAAUCGUAGGGCAAGCGAUGCCCCUGUGUUCUCUGAAGCUUACCUUUCAUCUGUAUGCUGUGGGAUAUUAGGCAGCUAUCCAAGCAUGAGGUUAAUCUCUAUGUGGUGACUUGGGAGUGAUCCAUCAUGACAUAUUGUAGAGUGAAACCACUCAACUACGGGUAGAAAAUGUUCUCGCUUUUGUAAAAACAACCAGCCAUAAAACUAUAUGCGAAUACACAUGCAGGCAUUUACAGGCACUCAGACAAAAAAAUCUGGAAGGACACUUUCCAACAGAAGUUAACUCUGGAGGAUGGGACAUUUCCCCCAUUUAAGUCCCUCUAAUGCUCUAUGUGAGAAAGCCUAUCUCACUCAGUAAUUAAAAACCAGUGAGCUGCAUAUAAUAGAAAAUGGUACAGCUCCGGAAAGCUACAUUCGACUGUUAACAGUGGGGCGUAGGGCUGGGGCUGAGGGCUCGCUUACCACACACACACACACACACAAGCACACGCACACGUGCACACACGCACCCUUCUAGACCGAAUCCGUUGAAAAGGAAGAUUAUUAAUAUUUUAAUUAAAAAAAGAAAUACAGGCAGUAAAGGAAACCGCCUCUCCCUCUCCUCCCCCCACCAGCUGCUGCCCAAAGCCCUCCACACUCCCCCAGCUGCUUUGCCAUCCCAUUUCUUCCUGGCACUGGCAGAUUUCUCCACUGAGUGGCCUUCACUGGCUGCGUCCAUCCCUUCAACAGCCAUUCUUUGGAUUUUAAAGAAACAUUACAUGUUUUCGUUUGUUGAUUGCCAGCAUUCCAAAAAAGAAGAAAAAAAUCCCCUAACCUUAGAACAGCAUCCGCAAACAUGACUUGGUCUUGUCCAAUCCUAUCUGCUCCUCGCUGCACACGCGUGUCCUUUCAUGAUUGUGAUCGGCACAAAUGCUAUCUUGUGUCCUGAAAUGUUUUACGUCACCUAAUUUUGUAAGCCCGUCUGUGUGUGGACACAGCAUCAUUUCUUCUAUGAAUGGUGCUAUGGUUGUUUAACCAGGCCCCGAUUGUUAGGCCUUUGGGUGGUUUCCAGUUUUUUGCUAUUUAUUCAUUCAUGAUUUAACCCUCUGCUUUUGGGCCCCGCCUCCUGCCAGCCUAUAAAAACUGCCCUCUUAAAGGUCACUGCUACCAGUGCCCCCCACCACCACCAAUCUCCCAGGCUCUUCUCAGUCCUUGACUAAGCCCUUGUCCUGACGUUAAUUGGGCUUAGCCUUGUUAACGACCCUCCUUGUCACCCAGCAGCCCAUCCAUCAAACCCAUCUAGCAAAAAACAAACAAAACAAAACAAAACAAAAACAAAAACAAAAACAAAACAAAACAAAAAAACAUCUAGCCUCUAUUCAUUGGCUUUUCUUUUUUUCUUUCUUUAAUCAUUUUUUUCUUCCAAAUACAGACAUUUUUAUAUGUGUCUUGUAAAAGAAUAAAGAUUAUUUAUUUAUUUAUGUAUUCA